AGAAUCUGGCCUUGAUGCAUUUAACCAAGAAAAUCUUUCACCCUUUACUAAAAAUUCCCGUGCCCUCGUGCAAUUAUGAGUAUUUACCAAUUUUUCGAAGCCCUUCGAAAGGGCG
rnacentral:snRNA from 1 species